rnacentral:rRNA from 1 species
UACGAGUGCCCCAAGCGUUAUCCGGAAUCAUUGGGCGUAAAGGGUGUGUAGGUGGUUGUAUUAGUCUUCUGUCAAAUUCUUCGGCUUAACCGGGGUCUCGCAGGGGAAACGGUACAACUCGAGGGUGCGAGGGGUGAAUGGAACUCAUGGAGUAGGGGUGAAAUCCGUUGAUAUCAUGGGGAACACCAAAAGCGAAGGCAAUUCACUGGCGCAUUUCCUGACACUGAAACACGAAAGCGUGGGUAGCGAACGGG